rnacentral:rRNA from 1 species
GGUUAAGCGACUAAGCGUACACGGUGGAUGCCCUGGCAGUCAGAGGCGAUGAAGGACGUGCUAAUCUGCGAAAAGCGUCGGUAAGGUGAUAUGAACCGUUAUAGCCGGCGAUGUCCGAAUGGGGAAACCCAGUGCAAUUCGUUGCACUAUCGUUUGAUGAAUACAUAGUCAAACGAGGCGAACCGGGGGAACUGAAACAUCUAAGUACCCCGAGGAAAAGAAAUCAACCGAGAUUCCCCCAGUAGCGGCGAGCGAACGGGGAGCAGCCCGGAGUCUGAAUCAGCUUGUGUGUUAGUGGAAGCGUCUGGAAAGUCGCAGGGUACAGGGUGAUACUCCCGUACACUAAAACACACAGGUUGUGAACUCGAAGAGUAGGGCGGGACACGUGGUAUCCUGUCUGAAUAUGGGGGGACCAUCCUCCAAGGCUAAAUACUCCUGACUGACCGAUAGUGAACCAGUACCGUGAGGGAAAGGCGAAAAGAACCCCGGCGAGGGGAGUGAAAAAGAACCUGAAACCGUGUACGUACAAGCAGUAGGAGCCCACUUGUUGGGUGACUGCGUACCUUUUGUAUAAUGGGUCAGCGACUUAUAUUCUGUAGCAAGGUUAACCGUAUAGGGGAGCCGCAGGGAAACCGAGUCUUAACUGGGCGUUAAGUUGCAGGGUAUAGACCCGAAACCCGGUGAUCUAGCCAUGGGCAGGUUGAAGGUUGGGUAACACUAACUGGAGGACCGAACCGACUAAUGUUGAAAAAUUAGCGGAUGACUUGUGGCUGGGGGUGAAAGGCCAAUCAAACCGGGAGAUAGCUGGUUCUCCCCGAAAGCUAUUUAGGUAGCGCCUCGUGAACUCAUCUUCGGGGGUAGAGCACUGUUUCGGCUAGGGGGUCAUCCCGACUUACCAACCCGAUGCAAACUACGAAUACCGAAGAAUGUUAUCACGGGAGACACACGGCGGGUGCUAACGUCCGUCGUGAAGAGGGAAACAACCCAGACCGCCAGCUAAGGUCCCAAAGUCAUGGUUAAGUGGGAAACGAUGUGGGAAGGCCCAGACAGCCAGGAUGUUGGCUUAGAAGCAGCCAUCAUUUAAAGAAAGCGUAAUAGCUCACUGGUCGAGUCGGCCUGCGCGGAAGAUGUAACGGGGCUAAACCAUGCACCGAAGCUGCGGCAGCGACACUAUGUGUUGUUGGGUAGGGGAGCGUUCUGUAAGCCGUUGAAGGUGGCCUGUGAGGGUUGCUGGAGGUAUCAGAAGUGCGAAUGCUGACAUAAGUAACGAUAAUGCGGGUGAAAAACCCGCACGCCGGAAGACCAAGGGUUCCUGUCCAACGUUAAUCGGGGCAGGGUGAGUCGACCCCUAAGGCGAGGCCGAAAGGCGUAGUCGAUGGGAAACAGGUUAAUAUUCCUGUACUCGGUGUUACUGCGAAGGGGGGACGGAGAAGGCUAUGUUGGCCGGGCGACGGUUGUCCCGGUUUAAGCAUGUAGGCGGAUGUUCCAGGUAAAUCCGGAACGUUACUAACGCUGAGGUGUGAUGACGAGGCACUACGGUGCUGAAGUGACAAAUGCCCUGCUUCCAGGAAAAGCCUCUAAGCAUCAGGUAACAUCAAAUCGUACCCCAAACCGACACAGGUGGUCAGGUAGAGAAUACCAAGGCGCUUGAGAGAACUCGGGUGAAGGAACUAGGCAAAAUGGUGCCGUAACUUCGGGAGAAGGCACGCUGAUGGUAAGUGAAGCGACUUGCUCGUGGAGCUGAAAUCAGUCGAAGAUACCAGCUGGCUGCAACUGUUUAUUAAAAACACAGCACUGUGCAAACACGAAAGUGGACGUAUACGGUGUGACGCCUGCCCGGUGCCGGAAGGUUAAUUGAUGGGGUUAUCCGUAAGGAGAAGCUCUUGAUCGAAGCCCCGGUAAACGGCGGCCGUAACUAUAACGGUCCUAAGGUAGCGAAAUUCCUUGUCGGGUAAGUUCCGACCUGCACGAAUGGCGUAAUGAUGGCCAGGCUGUCUCCACCCGAGACUCAGUGAAAUUGAACUCGCUGUGAAGAUGCAGUGUACCCGCGGCAAGACGGAAAGACCCCGUGAACCUUUACUAUAGCUUGACACUGAACACUGGUCCUUGAUGUGUAGGAUAGGUGGGAGGCUUUGAAGUGUGGACGCCAGUCUGCAUGGAGCCAUCCUUGAAAUACCACCCUUUAAUGGCUGGUGUUCUAACGUGGGCCCCUGAUCGGGGUUGCGGACAGUGUCUGGUGGGUAGUUUGACUGGGGCGGUCUCCUCCUAAAGAGUAACGGAGGAGCACGAAGGUCAGCUAAUCCUGGUCGGACAUCAGGAGGUUAGUGCAAUGGCAUAAGCUGGCUUGACUGCGAGCGUGACGGCGCGAGCAGGUGCGAAAGCAGGUCAUAGUGAUCCGGUGGUUCUGAAUGGAAGGGCCAUCGCUCAACGGAUAAAAGGUACUCCGGGGAUAACAGGCUGAUACCGCCCAAGAGUUCAUAUCGACGGCGGUGUUUGGCACCUCGAUGUCGGCUCAUCACAUCCUGGGGCUGAAGUAGGUCCCAAGGGUAUGGCUGUUCGCCAUUUAAAGUGGUACGCGAGCUGGGUUUAGAACGUCGUGAGACAGUUCGGUCCCUAUCUGCCGUGGGCGCUGGAGAAUUGAGGGGGGCUGCUCCUAGUACGAGAGGACCGGAGUGGACGCAUCACUGGUGUUCGGGUUGUCAUGCCAAUGGCAUUGCCCGGUAGCUAAAUGCGGAAGAGAUAAGUGCUGAAAGCAUCUAAGCACGAAACUUGCCCCGAGAUGAGUUCUCCCUGACCCUUUAAGGGUCCUGAAGGAACGUUGAAGACGACGACGUUGAUAGGCCGGGUGUGUAAGCGCAGCGAUGCGUUGAGCUAACCGGUACUAAUGAACCGUGAGGCUUAACCUU